AACAACACAGCAUGAUGCAGUCCCUGAGGAUCAAGACAGAAGAGAAGAAAUGACACUUACUGUAAGAGCUGGAUGUGACACCAGAAGCAACACACUUUGUGCCUUGUUCUGUCAACAGACAAGGAUCACAUCUUUUCUCAAUGCACACUGAGCUGAAGGGCAGCAUCCUGGAUAUUAUUUCAAUGCACACUGAUAAAGAACUACAUUGUACAUAUUUGGUUUGUAAUAUGUGAAGACAUUUAAUACAAGGAUUUUCUGUU